ensembl:lncRNA
UUCUCUGGUGAAGACCUGCAUCCAAGGAGUCGCCCCAGUUCGGAUGAGGGAGACAUUCUGAGCAAAAUUAACUUAAGGAUGAGUGCUCUGUCAUCAUGGGAAGGAUUCCCCAUGCCAUGGCUUUUCCGUCAUUUCUGAACUCUCCCCAGAGGCAGCGGGACAGCAGGAGUAUCUCCCUCACCUGGGAAGGACCACAUGGAGGAAAAAGUCCCGGUUGGCGUCCAGCGGUGCACGCGUGGGCGCGAGGGGGGCAGGGCUCUGUGGAAAGCGCCCCGCCUCCAGGAAGUAAUCAUUCCUGGUGGAGGCGAGCAUGGCAACCCUUCCUGUACCGGGCGCUGGGCCAGGCAGAGACAAUGAGCCAUCACCAGCCGGGCCGAGGCAAUGAGUGAUUAGCAGCAGCACCAGCAGCACAGUCGGUGGCGGCUGGGACGGUGGAGGAGGAGGGUGACCCUCUCCAGGGCGUGUUUUGGACAGGAACCGACCCCACCCUGCAAGGAUCUCCCCCACUGCACAGUUAGCAGGAGUUCCAGCUUCUGCCUCCAGACACAGACCCAGAACGGGUAGAUGCUCUGACUGUCGGUGCUCUCCUGCUUUGUGUCCACCUGUGCUUAGACUUGGAAGAAAGGACCGUGGAAGAGGCCACACAGGCCCGCUGAGCUGCAGGCCCCAAGUCCCUGGCAAACCUCCCUGCACGGUGGUCUUGCCCACGACUCAGUGUGGGGUCCCGGGCCUGGGAGUCUGUAUUUCUAGUGGGUUCCCGGGCAGCCUGUGUGCUUUGGGUCCUUGAACCUCAGGCAAGGACUCCAGCUGCCCCCAGGCUCAGCUUCCGCCCACCUGCCCCAGGAGCUGAGAGCAGAGACAGGCUCUCGCAUUCCCUUCCAACACCCCAAGCUCCCCCCGCACUGGAUCCUCUCUGUCCCCCCUCCACCCCACCUCCCACCCCCGACUGGGUGCCCCCAUGCUGAGCCUCCCUGUCUCCCCACCCACUCGGAUCAGCUGUCCUCCCCACCCCUGCCCUCUCCGGUCUGGGUCUGCGCACGUGGUGGGAGCAAGCUGCGGUGUGCAGCUGAUGUGCCAAUGUCCCCUCCCACUGUGGCUCCGCCUCGCCAGCCUUCACACACCUGUGGGCCCAGUGUCCCUGACACCCGCAGGCUGGGCCUUGCUCUCUGCAGAGAAGCUUCUAAAAGUGACUUCACCUCAAAGGGAGAACACCAACCACACUGACCAGGCCGACCUUGACGGUCAGUGCAGAGUGGCUGUCCAGCCUGGCUCCCUGGCCUUCUCUAGAGAGGCUCGGUGGCCACCUGGGGGCAGCUGGCAGGCUUUUCCUGCUUUGUAUCUUUUAAAAAUAUUUGAUGUUCUGCCAAGUGGAAAUCAGUUGAUGUAUUUUUUUCUCUAGUUCCCAGGUUACUUUUACUACGUCAUUUUAAUUUAAUUGUAUAUUACUUAUAUAAAAAUAGGCAUUCGUAGGAGAGAAUUAUUUCCUCUGAAUUGAUGACAAGUAAUUUCUCUUUUAAAUGUUUUUCUUUCAUAAUACACCAAAACUUAUCUGAAAUGUAAUAAAAGGAUGAUAGGUAAUUAAAUUGAGGAUGAUUUUACUUCAUAAGUGUAUUGUUGAACAAGUAAUAUAUAAUAAUCAGUUGACCCUUGAACAACACAGGCUUGAGCUGCGUGGGUCCAUUUGCGGAUUUUUUUCAGCAAACUCGUCCUGCAGGACUGCACACCUCAGGGUGGCUGAGUCCAUAGAUAGGGAGGGCCACCUGCAAAGUCAUACCCAGCGUUUCAACGGUGGGGUCGGGCACCCCUGCCCACGUUGUUCAAGGGUGAGCUGUACGUACAGUGAAGGACUCCCUGUUUCUAAAACUAAAACUAAGUACCAUUUGGUUAAGAGACUUCACAUUAUUGACGAUGUACUGAUCACCUUGUGCUCUUUUACUUGAUAGAGUGAACUUAUUUUAAAACAAUGUUUGUCAAAAUAAAAUAAAAUGGAAGGCGUUCCCUUU